rnacentral:rRNA from 1 species
AACGAACGCUGGCGGCAUGCCUAACACAUGCAAGUCGAACGAGAUCUUCGGGUCUAGUGGCGCACGGGUGCGUAACGCGUGGGAAUCUGCCCUUUGGUUCGGAAUAACAGUUGGAAACGACUGCUAAUACCGGAUGAUGAUGAAAGUCCAAAGAUUUAUCGCCAGGGGAUGAGGCCGCGUAGGAUUAGCUCGUUGGUGGGGUAAAGGCGUACUAAGGCGACGAUCCUUAGCUGGUCUGAGAGGAUGAUCAGUCACACUGGGGCUGAGACACGGACCAGACUCGUAAGGGGGGCAGCAGUGGGGAAUAUUGGAGAAUGGGGGAAAGGCUGAUCCAGCAAUGCCGCGUGAGUGAUGAAGGCCUUAGGGUUGGAAAGCUCUUUUACCCGGGAUGAUAAUGACAGUACGGGGAGAAUAAGCUGCGGCUAACUCCGUGCCAGCCGCCGCCGUAA